rnacentral:rRNA from 1 species
UACGGAGGAUGCAAGCGUUAUCCGGAAUGAUUGGGCGUAAAGCGUGCGCAGGUGGCUAUGUAAGUCUGCUGUUAAAGAGUGAGGCUCAACCUCAUAAGAGCAGUGGAAACUACAUGGCUAGAGUGCGUUCGGGGCAGAGGGAAUUCCUGGUGUAGCGGUGAAAUGCGUAGAUAUCAGGAAGAACACCGGUGGCGAAAGCGCUCUGCUAGGCCGCAACUGACACUGAGGGACGAAAGCUAGGGGAGCGAAUGGG